rnacentral:rRNA from 1 species
GACGUAGGGGGCUAGCGUUGUCCGGAAUCAUUGGGCGUAAAGAGCGUGUAGGCGGCCCGGUAAGUCCGCUGUAAAAGUCAAAGGCUCAACCUUUGAUUGUCAGUGGAUACUGCCGGGCUAGAGUCCGGAAGAGGCGAGUGGAACUCCUGGUGUAGCGGUGGAAUGCGCAGAUAUCAGGAAGAACACCGACGGCGAAGGCAGCUCGCUGGGACGGUACUGACGCUGAGACGCGAAAGCGUGGGGAGCGAACAGG